rnacentral:rRNA from 1 species
UACGUAGGGCGCAAGCGUUGUCCGGAAUUAUUGGGCGUAAAGAGCUCGUAGGCGGCCUGUUGCGUCCGCUGUGAAAUCCCGGGGCUCAACCCCGGGCCUGCAGUGGAUACGGGCUGGCUAGAGGCAGGCAGGGGAGAACGGAAUUCCUGGUGUAGCGGUGAAAUGCGCAGAUAUCAGGAGGAACACCGGUGGCGAAGGCGGUUCUCUGGGCCUGUACUGACGCUGAGGAGCGAAAGCGUGGGGAGCGAGCAGG